rnacentral:rRNA from 1 species
AUACGGCCCAUAUUCCUACGGGAAGCAGCAGUGAGGAAUUUUUCACAAUGGACGAAAGUCUGAUGGAGCAAUACCAUGUGAACGAUGAAGGUCUUCUGAUUGUAAAGUUCUUUUAUUUAGGAAAAAAAGCUUGAUAGGAAAUGAUUAAGCCUUGAUUGUACUAACUGAAUAAGUGACAGCUAACUAUGUGCCAGCAGCUGCGGUAAAACAUAGGUCACGAGCAUUAUCCGGAUUUAUUGGGCGUAAAGGAAGCGUAGGCGGACAAAUUGAUCUAUUGUUAAAGGCACUUGCUCAACGAGUUGUUUGUGAUAGAUAUCGUUUGUCUAGAAUUAGUUAGGAGAUACUGGAAUUCAAUGUGCAGCGGUGGAAUGCGUAGAUAUAUUGAGGAACACCAGAGGCUAAGGCGAGUAUCUAGGACAUAAUUGACGCUGAGGCUUGAAAGCGUGGGGAGCAAAUGGGAUUAGAUACCCCAGUAGUCCACGCCGUAAACGAUGGGUAUUAGGUAUUUGGUCCAGGACUGAGUGCUGUAGCUAACGCGUUAAAUACCCCGCCUGGGUAGUAUAUAUGCAAAUAUGAAACUCAAAGAAAUUGACGGGGACCUGAACAAGUGGUGGAGCA